GGGGAUGUCUGCUGUGUGAUUGUCCCAAAGCUUCCUGGGCUGAUGGGAAGCCCUGAGGAGCAUCGGGACCUGCAGAGAACCUCCUCCUGACUGAGGGAGAAACCAGCUAGAAACGUUGAGGCAGAGAGAAAAGAGAUUCCUCCACAGCACAACCUGAGGAGUAAAAGGAGCGUGGAGCAUUUAGUGUUGUUUGCCAUCCUGAGCAGAACCCCACCCUGCUUCACUUGUUACUGCAACGUGAUGGCUUGCUGCACUCCUCCCUUGUUGGACGGUGAGCAUCACCACACUGCAGGGCUUUCCUUUGCCAACACAGAACUCAUGAAGGCAGCAGAGGAGCAAGCUAAAACCUCUCUCCUCUGCAGCUUUAGUACAGAUCUCAGUAGCUCCUCCUGCAUGGGAUGAUAGCACAGCCAAGUCAGCAUGGUGUCGUCUUGCAAAUGGAUUCUGACGAUAAUCACAAUUAUUUUUCCUGCUGGGGACAAACUUCUGCAGUGGCAGUUUCAUCUAUUGAUGUUGGACCUAAUGGACCCUUGAGCACGGACAGAGCUCGGACGGAGUACAACCCACCAUCCUCAUGGCCAUCUUGAGCCAGCUCUCAGAGGGGAAUCUUUUAUAGUUAAAUGUAUAUGGCCAUGCAGUGUUAGUUACAGCUUCCUUUCAGAUGCAGAUAUACAGCAGCUUUGGUCUGGGUAAGCAUGAAGGGAGAACAGAGUACACUUGAGUUGCUUUUGUUGUGAGUUUAUAGAAAGCUUUGACCUUAUAGGGAAUAGUACAGCUUUGCUCUGUCUGUUUGCACUCUGUGUUGCUCAGUGAUGUUGCUUAUCUCUCAGCAUGCUGUUUCAUUUAUACAUGCAUUUC
rnacentral:lncRNA from 7 species